UAAUGUAUGGGGAUCUGCCCGAUAGAGGGGGAUAACUACUGGAAACGGUGGCUAAUACCGCAUAUGUCUACGGACCAAAGCAGGGGCUCUUCGGACCUUGCACUAUCGGAUGAACCCAUAUGGGAUUAGCUAGUAGGUGGGGUAAAGGCUCACCUAGGCGACGAUCUCUAGCUGGUCUGAGAGGAUGAUCAGCCACACUGGGACUGAGACACGGCCCAG
rnacentral:rRNA from 1 species